UACGUAGGGGGCAAGCGUUGUCCGGAAUCAUUGGGCGUAAAGAGCGUGUAGGCGGUCCGGUCAGUCGGUUGUGAAAGUCAAGGGCUCAACCCUUGAAUGCCGGCCGAUACUGCCGGGCUAGAGUCCGGAAGAGGUGAGUGGAAUUCCUGGUGUAGCGGUGAAAUGCGCAGAUAUCAGGAGGAACACCGAUGGCGAAGGCGGCUUCCUGGACCGACACUGACGCUGAGGCGCGAAAGCUAGGGGAGCAAACGGG
rnacentral:rRNA from 1 species